UACGGAGGGUGCGAGCGUUGUCCGGAAUUACUGGGCGUAAAGGGCUCGUAGGCGGCCAACUAAGUCCGACGUGAAAUCCCCAGGCUUAACCUGGGAACUGCGUCGGAUACUGGAUGGCUUGAAUCCGGGAGAGGGAUGCGGAAUUCCAGGUGUAGCGGUGAAAUGCGUAGAUAUCUGGAGGAACACCGGUGGCGAAGGCGGCAUCCUGGACCGGCAUUGACGGCUGAGGAGCGAAAGCCAGGGGAGCAAACGGG
rnacentral:rRNA from 1 species